rnacentral:rRNA from 1 species
CGGAAGGUCAUUACUAGAGCAAAGGAUAGACAGCGCCCGCGGAGCUCGCUCCCGGGGCCACCCUACUCCGGUAGGGUUUAGAGUCGUCGGGCCUCUCGGAGAAGCUCGGUCCUGAACUCCACCCUUGAAUAAACUACCUUUGUUGCUUUGGCGGGCCGCCUCGUGCCAGCGGCUUCGGCUGUUGAGUGCCCGCCAGAGGACCACAACUCUUGUUUUUAGUGAUGUCUGAGUACUAUAUAAUAGUUAAAACUUUCAACAACGGAUCUCUUGGUUCUGGCAUCGAUGAAGAACGCAGCGAAAUGCGAUAAGUAAUGUGAAUUGCAGAAUUCAGUGAAUCAUCGAAUCUUUGAACGCACAUUGCGCCCUCUGGUAUUCCGGGGGGCAUGCCUGUUCGAGCGUCAUUAUAACCACUCAAGCUCUCGCUUGGUAUUGGGGUUCGCGGUUUCGCGGCUCCUAAAAUCAGUGGCGGUGCCUAUCGGCUCUACGCGUAGUAAUACUCCUCGCGAUUGAGUCCGGUAGGUCUACUUGCCAGCAACCCCUAAUUUUUUAAGGUUGACCUCGGAUCAGGUAGGGAUACCCGCUGAACUUAAGCAUAUCAAUAAGCGGAGGAAAAGAAACCAACAGGGAUUACCUCAGUAACGGCGAGUGAAGCGGUAACAGCUC